GAUGAAGAACGUAGCGAAAUGCGAUAAGUAAUGUGAAUUGCAGAAUUCAGUGAAUCAUCGAAUCUUUGAACGUACAUUGCGCCCGGUAGUAUUCUGCCGGGCAUGCCUGUUCGAGCGUCAUUUCAACCAUCAAGCCCCAGCGCUUGUGUUGGGGGCCUGCGGCUGCCGCAGCCCCCUAAAAGCAGUGGCGGGCUCGCUAUCACACCGAGUGCAGUAGAUUACUCUUCGCUCAGGGCGUGCAGCGGGUUCCGGCCGUGAAACCCCCUACUUUUAAAGGUUGACCUCGGAUCAGGUAGGAAUACCCGCUGAACUUAAGCAUAUCAAAAAGCGGAGGA
rnacentral:misc_RNA from 1 species